UGUGUCUCUCUGUCAAAUAAAUAAAUAAAAUCUUAAAAAAAAAAAAAAGACUAUAUCCCUCUCAGAGCUACACCACUGAAAGGUGUUCCUUCAACAACAGAAAGAUUUAUUACUUUCUUCCCCCACAGAAAAACCGCAAAAAUAUUUCCAACUUGACUCUAGUAGUGAGUUCCAAGUUUCAUUAAAGAACUGGCCAGAUGCUUCCUCCUAGCUCGUGUGGGAAGAAGUUAAGAUAAAGAGCAUUUGAAACUCUACCUCGACACACCUGCCUCAUACCUUAUUCCCUUCUGAUACGUCUUCCUGUUUCCCCCAGGUCGGGGAUAUAGACCUGCCUCCCCAGGCACCUGGGGCUCUGGAAGCCCCCUGACUCCUCUCCACCUGGUAUUAAUAACAGAUGGCUCUUAUUGAAUUGCACACCUGCUGUAAACCAGGCACUGCACCUUACAAAUUGUCUCAAACUCUUAACCCCCAAACUGGAAGAAGCUGUAACCUGAGUGCUAUCUGGACAGCCCCUGUAACCUUGACUUUUUCUUUUUCUGCCUUUGUUACCAGGAAUCACUUUCUUCCAGUGUAUUUGCAGAAAGGGAGUUGGUCUCUCAGCUCCAAAGCCGGUCCAGGCUGCGGCCUGUUCCUCUGCUUUCACCUGCUUCUAAAUUCCACAUUCAGCCAAGGUCUCCGCUCGCUCUGGUGUGGGUCCUAGCCUAUGCUCUGAGGCUGCCAUUCUUCUUCAACGUGACACUGACCGUGGUCUCAGGGGUGUAGUAGACAGAAUAAUGGCCCCCCAAGAAUGCCCAUAUCCUGGAUCCUGUGAAUGUGUUACCUUACAUGGCAAAGGACUUUGCAGAUGUGAUUAAGUUAAGGACCUUGAGAUGGGGAGAUUAUCCUGGGGAACACGGUGUAAUCACAGGGUCCUUAUAAGGGAAAGAGGGAGGCAGGAGAGUAAGAGUCAGAAAAGGAGAGAUGGUGAGGGAAGCAGAAGUCAGAGAUGUGAGGAAGGGGCUGAGGAAUGCAGGCAGUCUUCAGGAGCUGAAAGGGGUAAGAAAACAGAUUCUAGCCUAGAGUCUCCAAAAGGAACACAGCACUGCCAACACCUUGAUUUUAGGUCUUCUGACCUCCAGAUGGGUAAGAUGAUAAAUCUGUGGUGUUUUUAAACCACUAAGUUUGUGGUAAUUUGUUAUACUAGCAAAAGAAAACAAUUCAAGGGAUGACGCAGGGAAACCACACUUGUCUUUGUUGUCUUAUACACACAUGUGUAACCCACUUCGUUGUAAGUUUGGGAUAAGUACAAGGGGAAAAAAAGGUGGAUAUUAAAUAUGAUUGUUCCCAGAGCCCAGUGGAAGAAGGAAAAGCCCUUCACAAGGUCCCUUCAUCAUCCCCCAUUUCCUAGCACUGCUCACCAGUCCAAGGCCCACCCUCUUUUUCUUCAUUUCCUCUGUAAACCCACUGUUCUCUUCUCCAUGGUGAAAUUCAUUCACUCAGCAAACAUUUACUGAGUACCUACUAUGUCCCAGGCACUGUUCUAGGUAUUGGGAAUAGAACAGUGAACACAACAGAAAAUAAUAUAAGCUAUCACAGGACUUAUGUUUUAAUGCAACCCUCCUUUCAUGAUAUUCCCACCCAACAAGGUCUACCCAACCCUUACCCUCUACCCCAAAUAUGAUCAUCUGUAAGAUAGAAAUAACCCACAACAAUAUACUUCUCCAAAGUCUGAGUUACUCCAUUAAGGAUCAUGCCAUGUAGUUAGAUGAUUCCCAGAGUAAUCCAUGGUGCGCUUCAUUUCCCCAGUUCUUGUUCUCUUCUGAGUCCCUCUGCCAACACAAAGUCAAGAUACCCCUCCUUAUUCUUCCUGUGGUCUUCUUAUCUCCUGUGAGUAAUUCUUAGAUCACAUACACACACACCCCAAAGACAACCAUCAGUCUCAGUCUAAAUCCAUGUUAAGGAGGCUGCCUUCCUAACAGUAACAUAUUCUGCCCAACUAAAUAAAGAUAUGGCUUUACUUUUUUAUGCAGAGCAGCCCCAAUCCCCCCUUCUCAGCUUCCACCUGUAGACUGCCUAUGUGUGCACCAGAAACACCACCUGUCACUGUGUCUUUCUAAAAGGAAAGACCUUCAAUUGUUACCAUCAUCCCCUGCUACCCAGAGAACAGGUAGAAGUUUGAUAGAUGAGCUUUUUUGAUACAUCGAACCAUGUGAAAUUCCUACCCAGGGCUUCCUCUACUAACAGAUUCCAUAGGAAGUGAAUCCGCACCCUGUGGCCCCCAUCCAUAACAAACCCUGGAGCAUUACGAGACUUUUCUUCUUCCAGUUCUAGAAGGAACGCCCAAGGUGAUCUGAUUAAUAAAGGGGUACUGAGAAGUUUUCAACUGCCCAGAGCUGUUAUGACGCCUUUAUGUGUGGCUCCCCUAGCAGCUUCUGACAGCCUUAGGGAAAAGAUGGUGGCAGCUUCGAUUUCCUUCCUGCUGGCCCAAAAAGGAUGGCUGGAGCAAGCAGAGCUAAUCUAGGACAAGAAUCAUGUGUUCUUCUUCAAUAUACCCUUCCGUCCAAGUACAAAGCUGGACACGGCAGGCACACAGCCUGCAGUAUGGCUGUGUUCCAGAGAGGCCUAGGCCAAGACUCCUCUAAGAACUUUCUCGCGCCGGGACCUAGGGCCAGCAGUGAUAAAGUUCGAAGAGGAAGAGCACUGGCAUCCUUUGAUCUGUAACCAGUACCAGAGCCUUCUAAACUGCUCGAAGUGCUCAGGUUUGCUUCUGGAGCUGGACUUCCAAGGCCCCCACUUCGAGGCCAGGCUCAUCUUUAAAUUCACAUUGAACAGUAGAAGAUGGUUAAAGCCAACACUUCCAAUACGGUCUGGGGCUGAUGGAGGAGAGAACGGUGAAAUAUCAUACACAUGCAUCUAUCUGUUAAAGCUGUGCUCUAGAACUUGGUUUUAACAUGCGGAAUCUGUGGCCACCCUGUCUGCCCGGGGAGGGUGCUGCGAUGCUUUCCAUCCUGGGCUUAGAAUGGUGAGUUAUAAGCAACAGCAGACAGGAUGGUCAUCUUAUUUCCUCUGCUUCCUUCCGGGGAACAGGCAAGCGGACUGCAGAGAAAAGAGAGAGGGGGAGGAAAAUAAGUAAAUGCCAGCAUGCGGAGCAGGGAGGAGAGUGAAUGGCAACAGGCGUGGGAGCUCAGCUGCCAGCAAAAAUCUGAUGCUCUGCAUUGCUCUGAGGAGAGGAGGCAAGUCUUCCCGAAUCCAGGCGCCCCAACAUGAUUGUGAAAGCCACACCCGUGGGCCCACAGACAGCCAACACUGCUGUAGAACUAGUGAGACACCUUGGGAAGCUGCUCAGGUUUCUGGAGACAUCUCUGUAAAAGCUGCCCUUCGUUCCUGGGGGAUGCUUGGAACCCCAGUGGGAGGCGACCCCAGAGCUGCCCCCCAGAGCUGAAAAUCCUUUUUUUUUUUAAGGCAAAGUUAAUUUCAGAAAAUUUUGUUCUCAAUUUUGUUCUAGGGCUCAGAGCCAAUUCCUUCGUUCCCAGUGGCGGCCGGCAGGGCUGACUGAGCAGGCACAAAGAGCUUUGAAGUCAACAGAGGUAGGCAGGGCAGGCCCCAGUGGAAAACUGUGAAGUCAGCAGAGUUAUCUCCGGCACUCCUCCCUUCCCCCUUGCUUCCCCUUUCUCCACCCAUUUCCCCCUCUCGGCUUCCAGCUUCUCAUUUCCCAGGGGACCCUGGAACAUAUGAAAACCCACCCCUCCAAAGAUAUGAGGGGGCCAGCUCAUGGCUCCAGCUAUCAAAGUCUGCUUUUUUCUCCCCACGUCUAAAACAAACAAAGGCGUGCAUUCCAUACAUUUCCUAAGGAAAGAGAGUGAAUACAGAAACCUUGUCCUUUGUGCUCUCUUGGUGAAACCCCAAGAGCCUGGGGCCUCAAGUUUGAAGCUGUCUUCCUGCCUCCUGGGGCUUUAAAAGGAAUCAAAAGUGCCUCAAACCAAUACAUCUGCUUGGUUUAUGGCUCAAAUUUAAACCACAAAUUAUAAAAUGAUAAAUCGCUGUUCGAAUCUCUUCCAGGAAAGACUAUGUUGUCAAGAUUAAGUUACAGCCUCAUGGCCCUAUGAGUGAGCCUCGCUGCUGACUAACUCUCUCACUCAUUUUCCUGCUGGAGAUGUUUUUUCUUUGUGAACUUUCACUGUUUCUGAGUACUUUAAACAAAGAAAAUGACCGAAGGCAGGAAAAACAUCGGGGACUUCUUAACCCAUGGAGCCUUUUUACAGGCUUUAUUAUGUAACGGCUGCUUUCGUUUUGUGAGUACCAAAGGAAGUUGAAGAAAUCUCUUUCUUCGUGAGCACUUAACUGCCAGAGAACCGUGAGACAGGGCUUCACUCAGGUGGGCAGCGACGCUCACUUCAAAACUCCAGUUGGAACGCGGAGUGUGUGGUAAAUCAAAGCUGCCUUAAGGAAUCUGGGUCUUAAAGUGUCUGUUCAGUGAUUUGGGCAGGACUGCAGCACGAAUUACUGUAUUUCGGCCCCACGAAAAUCAAUUCUUUGGAAUUCUCUUACGGGGCCUGGUCUAGCGACAGAGGAGUGUGACAAAUAAUGGGGCCCCAUGCAUGCUUUCCCAUAAGGAUGCUCCUCUCCGCCAGAGCUUGGGCAGGCGGAGGGAGGAGAGAUGAGAUCCUUGAUCGAGGCCCCUACCUUGCCUGCCUGUGGGUCUGUCACGCUGACCUCAGUUUGAUGACCUGAGGCUGCAGGAAGCAACUGAGCAUCCAUGGUUGUUUCUCCAGCCCAGUGCCUUGGUUAUACAACCCCGACCCGGUUUCUCCAAGGCCACUCAAGUCCUGAGGACCAUCAGACGUUGGACCAACUUGGUAAGCCUGGUUUUGUGCAAAAUCCUGGAUGACUGAGACUGGCAAUUGCUCCACACUGACGAGAAGAUGGCUUCCCCACACCCUUGGUCCUGGGAAGCUCCCUCGGGGCGCUUCCAUAGGAAUGGCUUCUUGCUUUGAAAAAGUUUUAAACAUCAUGAAAUUGAUUUGGCUGGAUAUGGAGAUACGGUACCAAAGCAAAGUGAAACGAAAAACCCAGAGGACACACAGAAAACCCUAAGUAAACCCCCAAGUUUGGUCUCGGGGGUUUACAGAUCACAAGAACCGUCAGCUCAACCCCCAUGCACUGUGACUCCUUGAAGAGCAGUUGGAUCCACACCAACAACACAGGAGACCGCAAACAAGGUAUUCUUGACUGACACAGAGAGAAAAAGUCGAGAAGCCAGAGUUUAUAGUUACCCCUCAAGGUCGUCUAGCUAAUGAGGGCAAAACAAAGAAAUCAGUGUAAGAAUUUUUUAUUUUCCUUCAAAACUCAGGUCAAGGCUUUGACAAUAGAUGUUGUGUAUCUUUAAAAGUAUUCUGAAACUGGGACCCCUGCGUGGCUCAAUCAGUUUAGCGUCUGCCUUCUGCUCAGGUCUUGAUCCGGCUCAGCUCAUGAUCCCAGGGUCCUGGGAUCGAGUGCUGUAUCAGGCUCCUUGCUCAGCGGGGAGCCUGCUUCUCCCUCUGCCUGCCGUUCCCCCCUGCUUGUGGUCUCUCUCUAACAAAUAAAUAAAUGAAAUCUUUAAAAAAAAAAAAAAGGCAUUCUGAAACUCCUCCUACCAUAAACCAUUUUGACAUAGAGGGGAAGGUAACUAUGCACAGAGUCAAGAUUCUACAUAUAAAGAAAAUGUUUUAAACUUGUAUUAUUUGAUAUGGCUAUACUUACCUUUUGCAAUAAUUGGACUCCUGGGGAAUGGUGUAUAUUUUACAUUUACCUGAAUUAAAUUGCACUUAAGGGGCUCAAAGUGAGGGGCAGGGGGAGUUCUGUAUUGAAAAUAAUCUAAAGAUAAAUCCUUUGAAGAACCUAAAUAAGUACCCAGUAAUUGGUAAUUGUAUAGCAUAUUUGGAUUUUUAUGUGUGUUUGUUUGAUGAUAAUGUAUGGUUAUGUUUUCAUUUUGAGGGAUUUAUGUUCAAUCUUCCAUUUUAUUAUGGCAUUAUUAAACAGCUUGGCAGAUCUAAUUUGAUAAAUAUAAAACACAAAAAUUAAUACUGGUUGCUUUAAAACAGUGGGGCAUUGGUUGUUGAAUAAUGUAUUCAGUUUGACUAGUUUUCAGAGUUCUUCUGUUUGUCCAAUAUUAAUAAAUAUUUAUUGACCAGCUUCUCUGUAAUAAGCACUGAGUAUACAAUGGUUUAAGCAAAAACAGGCACCACACAAGCCCACUUACAAUAAUAACAGCAGCUAAUACUUAGUACUUACAACAUAAUGGGCCCUGUUCUAAGGGCUUUACCUGUAUUAUCUCAUUGCAUCCUCUCAGUAACUAAGAAAUAGAAAUAGUAUCAUCUUCAUUUUACAGAGGAAAAAACUGAGGCACAGAGACAGUGUUACACAGCUACUAAGUAUGGGAUUUGAAUACUAAGCAGUAUGGGAUUUGAAUCUAAGCAGCAUGAUCUCAGAGCCUGCAGUCUUAAUCACUGUGAUGUACUACCUCUCCUAUAUUCUAAAAGCUCUCCCAGUAGUAUACAAUAUAAUGGAUGAAACACUUAUUGAAUAAUCAUUCAAGUAAAUAAAAAUUAUAACUCUGAUAAGAGCUAUGAGAAGAAGUAUGGCAGGAACUAUUUGGCUAGUUUCUCUUUUCCUUCUGGUUACAAAGUUAAGCUGUACUUCCUAGCCUUCCUUGCAGUUAAGUGCAGUCAUAGAACUAAGAUGUGGCCCAUGGAUUAUGGAUAAAAGUGACAGAUACACUUCCAUGCCUAAAAUAUAAAAGCUUCCUAAUUGGUCCUCUGUGUUCUUCCACUACUACUCGCAUUCACUAGCUGAAAAGAGUGGAGUUCAAGAUAGAAGCUUGGAUCCUUGAAUGACUUCAUGGAGCGAAGUCCCCUGAUGAUCUGCAUUGGAUACUGAUAGAAGUGAGAACAUUUUAUUAUAUUAAGCUAACUGAAAUUUGGGAACUUUUAUAAUAGCAUCUAGCUUAUUUUGACUAACACAGAAAAAGAAACCUUUAAGUUGAAUGCUGCUGUAGGGAAAAAAGAACUAAAACAUGUGAUCUUGAAUUCAUAGUUAGGUUGGAGAUGGUGUGAAAACAAAUAUUGGAGGCUGAAUUACGGGAGAGACUUGCCAUGUCAUGGCAAAAGAUUUGCUACAACUGUUGCUUAUGCAACUUGGAAGGUAGCAUACUACUUGCCUAGUAAGCAUAUUGUUCUAGAGGAAGUUUUUGGAAAGAGAGUAAUAAUACGUGUUGGCUACUAUUUGCUAACUUUAGUAAAGCAUUGCAGGAAAGAGAAAAAGUCAAGCAAGAACUGACUGAUUUGGAAACAGAAAUAAAAAAGAGAAUUAGAGGGGCGCCUGUAUGGCUCAGUUGGUUAAGCGACUGCCUUCGGCUCAGGUCAUGAUCCUGGAGUCCCGGGAUCGAGUCCCACGUCGGGCUCCCUGCUCAGCAGGGAGUCUGCUUCUCCCUCUGACCCUCCUCCCUCUCAUGCUCUCUGUCUCUCAUUCUCUCUCUCGCAAAUAAAUAAAAUCUUAAAAAAAAGAGAGAGAAUUAGAGAAGUCCAGAAAUUUGGAAGCUAAAAGAUUAGAAAGCUAACUACUUCUAGAUAGGAAACAAAAUAUUAAAUACCUUUGAGUAACAAAGGUCCAUUUAGAUCCAGACUACCAUGAUCUAAGAGUGCGGUUUUCUCAUCUAAAUCUAAUGACUUGAAUUAGCCCCCCAUUAAAUUCAGAGAGAGAGGAAUUGGGGAAGAAAGCAAAGACAUAAAUCAUGCUUGAGAAUUAUGUGUAGGAAAGAAGUAUGGGUGUGGUUAUUGGCACAUGUGGCUGACUGGAAGCAAAUGGAUCAGAAACCUACCAAGUGUUUGAGGGAAUCAUGUUCUCAAAGAAAUCAUUUGACUAUUUCAGUUGGAAAUAACCUUUGCAUCUCAUAUUUGUACCAGUAAGGAGUGAGCUGAACAGGCUAUAAGGAAGGUAUAUUCCUCAACACCUCUCAGAAUAGCAAAGCCAGGGGCCAUGGAGUAAAACGGACAAGGAAAUUCCUUGGAAAGAAGAUUAAGAUUUAAAUGAAGAUUUUCCUUACCCUUCAAAAUGCUUAUCCCAGCAUUCUGGUUACAGAAGCAUUAUGCUUAUUUCAGGAUUCCGGAAUUGCUGUGGAGGAAUAAUUGCUAUAUUUCUCCUCCUAGUUGUCCUUUUUCUGCAUGAGCAUUUAUUUCAUUUUUCCUGUCUUUGCCCUCAUAUAUAUAUAUAAAUUUUUUAUUGUCCUCACUAGUUAGGAUGAGCAUUUUUAUUUUAAAAUAAAAGUAAGUGAGGGGUGCCUUGGUGGCUCAGUCGGUUAAGCAUCCAACUCUUGAUUUCGGGUCAGGUCGUGAUCUUGUCGUCAUGGGAUCAAGCCCCAUGUCAGGCUUCAAGCUGGGCAUAGAGCCUGCUUAAGAUUCUCUCUCUCUCUCCCUCUCCCCUCUGCUCAAGUGUACUCUCUCUCUAUUAAAAAAAAAAGUAACUGAAACGAAGGCAGAUUAAUCAUGAAGUUAAAGAAACUUAAGCUCUAGGGGUCUCUUCCAAGGCUCUAGGAAAGUGUGUCUUUUCACUCUAAUCUCUCCUUUGUCAUAUUUCCCAUUAUGUCAGGUGGUGUUGUAGUGGCUUUGGAUAUUUUAGGUAUCUAGCUAACGGAAAGUUGAGUUGGGGAUAUAUUUAAUCUCAGGCUUAAUGAGACACUUACAUGGAUUACACUCACAUUUAAUUAAAUUAUUGCUGGCUGUCUUUGUUUAGCAAUAGAUUCCAGGAAAAUUCCUAUGGGCCAUUGCACUGAUUCACCCAGCAUCCUAUCAUGGAAGUGGUGGGGCUAGGGGUCAUAAUACACUAUGAACAUACAGGUAGCACUGAAAAAUUGUGUGGGUCUUAUGGGAGAAAUAAGGUUUGAAACAUAAAAAGCCAGAAGCUAGACUAGGGAAAAUUCUUCUAAUUGUUUUUUUUUUUUUAAGAUUUUAUUAAUUUAUUUGUCAGAGAGAGCACAAGCAGGGGGAGUGGGAGAGGGAGAAGCAGGCUCCCCGCUGAGCAAGGAGCCCGAUGUGGGACUUGAUCCCAGGACCCUGGGAACAUAACCGGAGCCGAAGGCAGACGCUUAACCGACUGAGCCACCCAGGCAUCCCCUUCUAAUUGUUAUAUAUGUGAUAUGUAUUUGGUUGUCACUGAUGUCAAACAAAAUAGUUCCAUCAGGAAUAUACUCAAUAAUUCAGUAUACAUAGUUUAAAAUUCACCGUACAUUUUAUUUUCUUUUUUUAAAUGGAAAUCACAUGAAAUAGAAUUAAUCAGAAUUCCAGCAGCAACACUACAAACAGCUGUACUAUAUGUGCAAAGUGGUUUUUUAUGCAUUCCAACUAUAUCCCAAUAAUAAAGACAAAUUUGAUAAACCGUGCUAGAGGAAAAACUAAGUUAUCUUUUUAUCCUCUCUAUUAAAAAGUUUUUUAAAAACCACUGUCAUGGGACGCCUGGGUGGCUCAGGCGGUUGGGCAUCUGCCUUCGGCUCAGGUCAUGAUCCCAGAGUCCUGGAAUCGAGUCCUACAUCAGGCUCCCUGCUCAGCGGGGAGCCUGCUUCUCCCUCUCCCCCCUGCUUGUGUAUCUAUUAAGAAAAAGAGAGGGGCGCCUGGGUGACUCAGUCAUUAAGCGUCUGCUUUCGGCUCAGGUCAUGGUGCCAGGGCUCUGGGAUCGAGCCCCGCAUCGGGCUCCCUGCUCGGUGGGAAGCCUGCUUCUCCCUCCCUCCUGCUUGUGUUCCCUCUCUUUCUGUGUCUCUCCCUGUCAAAUAAAUAAAUGAAAUCUUAAAAAAGAAAAAAGAAUCAUUGUCAUAUGAAGAAAUAAAGUGUACGCAACCAAGAAAUUUAGUAAAAAAAAAAAUAUUGGAGUUAUGUUGGGCAGUUAAUUGAACGCUGUAUUUCUUGAUUUUGUAACAUUCGUAGAAUUUGCAGGCUUCUUAAAAUGUGUAAUCUGUUGUGAUUUCUUUUCUGCGUCUAAAUAAAUACUCCAUUU